UUCCGUAGGUGAACCUGCGGAAGGAUCAUUGAAUCUAUCAACAACCACACAGCGAACCAACCGUACGCGCCCCCGGGCAGGCCCCCACCAGGGACUGUCCGCGCGCUGGAAAACACUCGUUCGGCCCACGGGUCGGCGGGUGGGGGACCAGCGGGACGCCCUCUCCAACCACAAACCUUUUUCCCAAAAGGUUUGGAGAGUGCCGCGGCCGGCCGCCCCCUGUCCACCCCACACAACCCAAACCACACAAGCAAACUGAAGCGAAAGCGGGUCCGCCCGAAAGGGCGCCGCGACCACAAACAAAAGACAACUCUCAACAACGGAUAUCUUGGCUCCCGCAUCGAUGAAGAACGCAGCGAAAUGCGAUACGUAGUGUGAAUUGCAGAAUUCCGUGAAUCAUCGAAUCUUUGAACGCAUAUUGCGCUCGAGACUUCGGUCGAGAGCAUGCCUGUCUCAGCGUCGGCUCACCCCUCGCCCACCCUUUCCUUUUUGAACAAGAAGGAAAGGUGCCUGGACGGACGUGGCCGUCUCGAUUGUGGAUUUGGAAACAACAUCCACGAUCGGGUCGGCUGAAGUGCAGGGCCCGCGGCGCGACCCGGACAAGAGGGCGCCAGCAUGGUAGGUGGCUUUCAAUGCUGCAUGCCGCUGUCGCCUCCCCUUGGCCCGAUCACCAGUGUCGCAUCCAAUCGUCCGCUCGGCCAACAAGCAGGAAACGUGUGGGGCCGCCGGCUGUGCAAAUAAUCGGCGGCGCCGCCAUUCAAACCUUCGACCUGAGAUCAGACAAGACCACCCGCUGAACUUAAGCAUAUCAAUAAGCGGAGGAAA
rnacentral:rRNA from 1 species